rnacentral:rRNA from 1 species
GACGAACGCUGGCGGCGUGCUUAACACAUGCAAGUCGAACGGAAAGGCCCUGCUUGCAGGGUACUCGAGUGGCGAACGGGUGAGUAACACGUGGGUGAUCUGCCCUGCACUUCGGGAUAAGCCUGGGAAACUGGGUCUAAUACCGGAUAGGAGCCAUUUUUAGUGUGAUGGUUGGAAAGUUUUUUCGGUGUAGGAUGAGCUCGCGGCCUAUCAGCUUGUUGGUGGGGUAAUGGCCUACUAAGGCGGCGACGGGUAGCCGGCCUGAGAGGGUGGACGGCCACAUUGGGACUGAGAUACGGCCCAGACUCCUACGGGAGGCAGCAGUGGAGAAUAUUGCACAAUGGGCGCAAGCCUGAUGCAGCGACGCCGCGUGGGGGAUGACGGCCUUCGGGUUGUAAACUCCUUUCGCUAGGGACGAAGCUUUUGUGACGGUACCUAGAGAAGAAGCACCGGCUAACUACGUG